rnacentral:rRNA from 1 species
UACGUAGGGUGCGAGCGUUGUCCGGAAUUAUUGGGCGUAAAGGGCUCGUAGGCGGUUUGUCGCGUCGGGAGUGAAAUCCACUGGCUUAACUGGUGGCUUGCUUUCGAUACGGGCAGACUGGAGGUAUGCAGGGGAGAACGGAAUUCCUGGUGUAGCGGUGAAAAUGCGCAGAUAUCAGGAGGAACACCGGUGGCGAAGGCGGUUCUCUGGGCAUGUCCUGACGUGAGGAGCGAAAGUGUGGGGGAGCGAACAGG